UACGGAGGGGGCAAGCGUUGUUCGGAAUUACUGGGCGUAAAGGGCGCGUAGGCGGCUGCUCAAGUCAGGCGUGAAAGGCCUGGGCUCAACCCGGGAAUUGCGCUUGAGACUGGGCUGGCUUGAGUGCGGGAGAGGAUGGUGGAAUUCCAGGUGUAGCGGUGAAAUGCGUAGAUAUCUGGAGGAACACCGGUGGCGAAGGCGGCAUCCUGGACCAAUUCUGACGCUGAGGAGCGAAAGCCAGGGGAGCAAACGGG
rnacentral:rRNA from 1 species